rnacentral:rRNA from 1 species
UACGAAGGGGGCUAGCGUUGCUCGGAAUUACUGGGCGUAAAGGGCGCGUAGGCGGAUAGUUUAGUCAGAGGUGAAAGCCCAGGGCUCAACCUUGGAACUGCCUUUGAUACUGGCUAUCUUGAGUUCGGGAGAGGUGAGUGGAAUGGCCGAGUGUAGAGGUGAAAUUCGUAGAUAUUCGGCGGAACACCAGUGGCGAAGGCGACUCACUGGCCCGAUACUGACGCUGAGGCGCGAAAGCGUGGGGAGCAAACAGGAGUUA